ensembl:lncRNA PMS2P3 PMS1 homolog 2, mismatch repair system component pseudogene 3
GGGCGGCGGGACCCGGGCCUGGCCCGUAUGUGUCCUUGGCGGCCUAGACUAGGCCGUCGCUGUAUGGUCUAUCAGCCACAGUCUCUGCAUGUUUCCAAGAGCAACAGGAAAUGAACACAUUGCAGGGGCCAGUGUCAUUCAAAGAUGUGGCUGUGGAUUUCACCCAGGAGGAGUGGCGGCAACUGGACCCUGAUGAGAAGAUAGCAUACGGGGAUGUGAUGUUGGAGAACUACAGCCAUCUAGUUUCUGUGGGGUAUGAUUAUCACCAAGCCAAACAUCAUCAUGGAGUGGAGGUGAAGGAAGUGGAGCAGGGAGAGGAGCCGUGGAUAAUGGAAGGUGAAUUUCCAUGUCAACAUAGUCCAGUACAGAACCUGCUAAGGCCAUCAAACCUAUUGAUCGGAAGUCAGUCCAUCAGAUUUGCUCUGGGCCAGUGGUACUGAGUCUAAGCACUGCAGUGAAGGAGUUAGUAGAAAACAGUCUGGAUGCUGGUGCCACUAAUAUUGAUCUAAAGCUUAAGGACUAUGGAGUGGAUCUCAUUGAAGUUUCAGACAAUGGAUGUGGGGUAGAAGAAGAAAACUUUGAAGGCUUAAUCUCUUUCAGCUCUGAAACAUCACACAUGUAAGAUUCAAGAGUUUGCCGACCUAACUGAAGUUGAAACUUUCGGUUUUCAGGGGGAAGCUCUGAGCUCACUGUGUGCACUGAGCGAUGUCACCAUUUCUACCUGCCACGCGUCGGUGAAGGUUGGGACUCGACUGGUGUUUGAUCACGAUGGGAAAAUCAUCCAGGAAACCCCCUACCCCCACCCCAGAGGGACCACAGUCAGCGUGAAGCAGUUAUUUUCUACGCUACCUGUGCGCCAUAAGGAAUUUCAAAGGAAUAUUAAGAAGACGUGCCUGCUUCCCCUUCGCCUUCUGCCGUGAUUGUCAGUUUCCUGAGGCCUCCCCAGCCAUGCUUCCUGUACAGCCUGCAGAACUGUGAGUCAAUUAAACCUCUUUUCUUCAUAAA